rnacentral:rRNA from 1 species
UUAAGCGACUAAGCGUACACGGUGGAUGCCCUGGCAGUCAGAGGCGAUGAAGGACGUGCUAAUCUGCGAUAAGCGUCGGUGAGGUGAUAUGAACCGUUAUAACCGGCGAUUUCCGAAUGGGGAAACCCAGUGUGUUUCGACACACUAUCAUUAACUGAAUCCAUAGGUUAAUGAGGCGAACCGGGGGAACUGAAACAUCUAAGUACCCCGAGGAAAAGAAAUCAACCGAGAUUCCCCCAGUAGCGGCGAGCGAACGGGGAGGAGCCCAGAGCCUGAAUCAGUGUGUGUGUUAGUGGAAGCGUCUGGAAAGGCGUGCGAUACAGGGUGACAGCCCCGUACACAAAAAUGCACAUAUUGUGAGCUCGAUGAGUAGGGCGGGACACGUGGUAUCCUGUCUGAAUAUGGGGGGACCAUCCUCCAAGGCUAAAUACUCCUGACUGACCGAUAGUGAACCAGUACCGUGAGGGAAAGGCGAAAAGAACCCCGGCGAGGGGAGUGAAAAAGAACCUGAAACCGUGUACGUACAAGCAGUGGGAGCCUCUUAAUGGGGUGACUGCGUACCUUUUGUAUAAUGGGUCAGCGACUUAUAUUCUGUAGCAAGGUUAACCGAAUAGGGGAGCCGAAGGGAAACCGAGUCUUAACUGGGCGUUAAGUUGCAGGGUAUAGACCCGAAACCCGGUGAUCUAGCCAUGGGCAGGUUGAAGGUUGGGUAACACUAACUGGAGGACCGAACCGACUAAUGUUGAAAAAUUAGCGGAUGACUUGUGGCUGGGGGUGAAAGGCCAAUCAAACCGGGAGAUAGCUGGUUCUCCCCGAAAGCUAUUUAGGUAGCGCCUCGUGAAUUCAUCUCCGGGGGUAGAGCACUGUUUCGGCAAGGGGGUCAUCCCGACUUACCAACCCGAUGCAAACUGCGAAUACCGGAGAAUGUUAUCACGGGAGACACACGGCGGGUGCUAACGUCCGUCGUGAAGAGGGAAACAACCCAGACCGCCAGCUAAGGUCCCAAAGUCAUGGUUAAGUGGGAAACGAUGUGGGAAGGCCCAGACAGCCAGGAUGUUGGCUUAGAAGCAGCCAUCAUUUAAAGAAAGCGUAAUAGCUCACUGGUCGAGUCGGCCUGCGCGGAAGAUGUAACGGGGCUAAACCAUGCACCGAAGCUGCGGCAGCGACACUAUGUGUUGUUGGGUAGGGGAGCGUUCUGUAAGCCUGUGAAGGUGGCCUGUGAGGGUUGCUGGAGGUAUCAGAAGUGCGAAUGCUGACAUAAGUAACGAUAAAGCGGGUGAAAAGCCCGCUCGCCGGAAGACCAAGGGUUCCUGUCCAACGUUAAUCGGGGCAGGGUGAGUCGACCCCUAAGGCGAGGCCGAAAGGCGUAGUCGAUGGGAAACAGGUUAAUAUUCCUGUACUUGGUGUUACUGCGAAGGGGGGACGGAGAAGGCUAUGUUGGCCGGGCGACGGUUGUCCCGGUUUAAGCGUGUAGGCUGGUUUUCCAGGCAAAUCCGGAAAACCAAGGCUGAGGCGUGAUGACGAGGCACUACGGUGCUGAAGCGACAAAUGCCCUGCUUCCAGGAAAAGCCUCUAAGCAUCAGGUAACAUCAAAUCGUACCCCAAACCGACACAGGUGGUCAGGUAGAGAAUACCAAGGCGCUUGAGAGAACUCGGGUGAAGGAACUAGGCAAAAUGGUGCCGUAACUUCGGGAGAAGGCACGCUGAUAUGUAGGUGAAGCGACUUGCUCGUGGAGCUGAAAUCAGUCGAAGAUACCAGCUGGCUGCAACUGUUUAUUAAAAACACAGCACUGUGCAAACACGAAAGUGGACGUAUACGGUGUGACGCCUGCCCGGUGCCGGAAGGUUAAUUGAUGGGGUUAGCGGUAACGCGAAGCUCUUGAUCGAAGCCCCGGUAAACGGCGGCCGUAACUAUAACGGUCCUAAGGUAGCGAAAUUCCUUGUCGGGUAAGUUCCGACCUGCACGAAUGGCGUAAUGAUGGCCAGGCUGUCUCCACCCGAGACUCAGUGAAAUUGAACUCGCUGUGAAGAUGCAGUGUACCCGCGGCAAGACGGAAAGACCCCGUGAACCUUUACUAUAGCUUGACACUGAACAUUGAGCCUUGAUGUGUAGGAUAGGUGGGAGGCUUUGAAGUGUGGACGCCAGUCUGCAUGGAGCCGACCUUGAAAUACCACCCUUUAAUGUUUGAUGUUCUAACGUUGGCCCGUAAUCCGGGUUGCGGACAGUGUCUGGUGGGUAGUUUGACUGGGGCGGUCUCCUCCUAAAGAGUAACGGAGGAGCACGAAGGUUGGCUAAUCCUGGUCGGACAUCAGGAGGUUAGUGCAAUGGCAUAAGCCAGCUUGACUGCGAGCGUGACGGCGCGAGCAGGUGCGAAAGCAGGUCAUAGUGAUCCGGUGGUUCUGAAUGGAAGGGCCAUCGCUCAACGGAUAAAAGGUACUCCGGGGAUAACAGGCUGAUACCGCCCAAGAGUUCAUAUCGACGGCGGUGUUUGGCACCUCGAUGUCGGCUCAUCACAUCCUGGGGCUGAAGUAGGUCCCAAGGGUAUGGCUGUUCGCCAUUUAAAGUGGUACGCGAGCUGGGUUUAGAACGUCGUGAGACAGUUCGGUCCCUAUCUGCCGUGGGCGCUGGAGAACUGAGGGGGGCUGCUCCUAGUACGAGAGGACCGGAGUGGACGCAU